CGGGGUGCAGCAGGCGCGAAAACUUUACAAUGCGGGAAACCGUGAUAAGGGAACUCCGAGUGCCCGUAAAAUCGGGCUGUCCAUCUGUUUAAAUAACAGGUGAAGAAAGGGCCGGGCAAGACCGGUGCCAGCCGCCGCGGUAAUACCGGCGGCCCGAGUGGUGGCCACUAUUACUGGGCUUAAAGCGUUCGUAGCUGGUCUGUUAAGUCUCUGGGGAAAUCUACUGGCUUAACCAAUAGGCGUUUCAGGGAUACUGGCAGACUAGGGACCGGGAGAGGUGAGGGGUACUCCAGGGGUAGGAGUGAAAUCCUGUAAUCCUUGGGGGACCACCUGUGGCGAAGGCGCCUCACCAGAACGGCUCCGACAGUGAGGGACGAAAGCUGGGGGAGCAAACCGGAUUAGAUACCCGGGUAGUCCCAGCCGUAAACGAUGCGCGUUAGGUGUAUCGGUGACCACGAGUCACCGAGGUGCCGAAGAGAAAUCGUGAAACGUGCCGCCUGGGAAGUACGGUCGCAAGGCUGAAACUUAAAGGAAUUGGCGGGGGAGCAC
rnacentral:rRNA from 1 species